rnacentral:rRNA from 1 species
AGCGAACGUUAGCGGCGGGCCUAACACAUGCAAGUCGCACGAGAAAGGGGGCUUCGGCUCCUGAGUAAAGUGGCGGACGGGUGAGUAACACGUGGGUAAUCUACCUUCCGGUGGGGGAUAACAGCCCGAAAGGGUUGCUAAUACCGCAUCCGUCGGCGGAGGCUCCGGCCUCUGCCGGGAAAGGCGGCCUCUUCAUGAAAGCUGUCGCCGGAAGAUGAGCCCGCGGCCCAUCAGCUAGUUGGUAGGGUAACGGCCUACCAAGGCUUAGACGGGUAGCUGGACUGAGAGGAUGAUCAGCCACACUGGGACUGAGACACGGCCCAGACUCCUACGGGAGGCAGCAGUGGGGAAUAUUGGGCAAUGGGCGCAAGCCUGACCCAGCCACGCCGCGUGAGUGAUGAAGGCCUUCGGGUCGUAAAGCUCUGUGGGGAGGGACGAAUCAGCCUCGGGAGUAAUACCCCGGGGCCCUGACGGUACCUCCUUAGCAAGCACCGGCUAACUCCGUGCCAGCAGCCGCCGUAA